CCUUUAGUCAUGCCCCCUGCCCUAGUCUAAGCAUAAAAACAUUCUCUCCCCUGGGGAAAUUCCUUCCUUCAUUUGCUGUAAAGUGUGUCAUUUGACUCCUGCUGAAAUGCAUGUUUUUGGAGUGGAAAAUUGGAAGCACAUGAUUUAUUCCCAAAGAAAACCUUUAAUUCAGCAGCCGAGAAAUUACUUUGCUACUGGUCCAAAGGGCUUACCAGUUACCAUCAGGAUGCUGUUAGCUCCUGUUACAGUGCCUGGAUGCUAGACUUGAAUUCUCGGGGAACAGAUACAGGAAUUGCCAUUGUGGGUUGACAUCAGGCCCUGGCUGGGCCAGGGACCUUGUAGAACAUACACACAGUAGACUUCCUGCCUUUCAGGUGGGGGAAUUAUUCCAAGACAGUUCAUGAAGACAGCUAUAGUUCUAGUUCAUAUUAAUAUAUCACUGUAGAGUCACAAAGAAGCAGCUAGGUGGUACAGUGCAUAGAAUAUUGGACCUGGUGGUCAGAAGACUCAUUGAG
rnacentral:lncRNA from 1 species